GACGUAGGGGCCAAGCGUUGUCCGGAUUUAUUGGGCGUAAAGGGCUCGUAGGCGGUUAAGUAAGUCGGAUGUGAAAACUCAGGGCUCAACCCUGAGACGCCAUCCGAUACUGCUUUGACUUGAGUCUGGUAGAGGAGUGUGGAAUUCCUGGUGUAGCGGUGAAAUGCGCAGAUAUCAGGAGGAACACCUGUAGCGAAGGCGGCACUCUGGGCCAGUACUGACGCUGAGGAGCGAAAGCAUGGGUAGCAAACAGG
rnacentral:rRNA from 1 species